GAUGAACGCUGGCGGCGUGCCUAAUACAUGCAAGUCGAGCGAACAGACGAGGAGCUUGCUCCUCUGACGUUAGCGGCGGACGGGUGAGUAACACGUGGAUAACCUACCUAUAAGACUGGGAUAACUUCGGGAAACCGGAGCUAAUACCGGAUAAUAUAUUGAACCGCAUGGGUCAAUAGUGAAAGACGGUUUUGCUGUCACUUAUAGAUGGAUCCGCGCCGCAUUAGCUAGUUGGUAAGGUAACGGCUUACCAAGGCAACGAUGCGUAGCCGACCUGAGAGAGUGAUCGGCCACCCUGGAACUGAGACACGCACCAGACUCCUACGGGAGGCAGCAGUAGGGAAUCUUCCGCAAUGGGCGAAAGCCUGACGGAGCAACGCCGCGUGAGUGAUGAAGGUCUUCGGAUCGUAAAACUCUGUUAUUAGGGAAGAACAAAUGUGUAAGUAACUAUGCACGUCUUGACGGUACCUAAUCAGAAAGCCACGGCUAACUACGUG
rnacentral:rRNA from 1 species